GACGAACGCUGGCGGCGUGCUUAACACAUGCAAGUCGAACAGAAAGGCCCUGCUUUUGUGGGGUGCUCGAGUGGCGAACGGGUGAGUAACACGUGAGUAACCUGCCCUUGACUUUGUGAUAACUUCAGGAAACUGGGGCUAAUACCGGAUAGGAGCUCCUGCUGCAUGGUGGGGGUUGGAAAGUUUCGGCGGUUGGGGAUGGACUCGCGGCUUAUCAGCUUGUUGGUGGGGUAGUGGCUUACCAAGGCUUUGACGGGUAGCCGGCCUGAGAGGGUGACCGGCCACAUUGGGACUGAGAUACGGCCCAGACUCCUACGGGAGGCAGCAGUGGGGAAUAUUGCACAAUGGGCGGAAGCCUGAUGCAGCAACGCCGCGUGCGGGAUGACGGCCUUCGGGUUGUAAACCGCUUUCGCCUGUGACGAAGCGUGAGUGACGGUAAUGGGUAAAGAAGCACCGGCUAACUACGUG
rnacentral:rRNA from 1 species